UUAAGUUAUUAAGGGCGCACGGUGGAUGCCUUGGCACUAGAAGCCGAUGAAGGACGUUACUAACGACGAUAUGCUUUGGGGAGCUGUAAGUAAGCUUUGAUCCAGAGAUUUCCGAAUGGGGAAACCCAGCAUGAGUUAUGUCAUGUUAUCGAUAUGUGAAUACAUAGCAUAUCAGAAGGCACACCCGGAGAACUGAAACAUCUUAGUACCCGGAGGAAGAGAAAGAAAAUUCGAUUCCCUUAGUAGCGGCGAGCGAAACGGGAAGAGCCCAAACCAACAAGCUUGCUUGUUGGGGUUGUAGGACACUCUAUACGGAGUUACAAAGGACGACAUUAGACGAAUCAUCUGGAAAGAUGAAUCAAAGAAGGUAAUAAUCCUGUAGUCGAAAAUGUUGUCUCUCUUGAGUGGAUCCUGAGUACGACGGAGCACGUGAAAUUCCGUCGGAAUCUGGGAGGACCAUCUCCUAAGGCUAAAUACUCUCUAGUGACCGAUAGUGAACCAGUACCGUGAGGGAAAGGUGAAAAGCACCCCGGAAGGGGAGUGAAAUAGAACCUGAAACCGUGUGCUUACAAGUAGUCAGAGCCCGUUAAUGGGUGAUGGCGUGCCUUUUGUAGAAUGAACCGGCGAGUUACGAUUUGAUGCAAGGUUAAGCAGUAAAUGUGGAGCCGUAGCGAAAGCGAGUCUGAAUAGGGCGUUUAGUAUUUGGUCGUAGACCCGAAACCAGGUGAUCUACCCUUGGUCAGGUUGAAGUUCAGGUAACACUGAAUGGAGGACCGAACCGACUUACGUUGAAAAGUGAGCGGAUGAACUGAGGGUAGCGGAGAAAUUCCAAUCGAACCUGGAGAUAGCUGGUUCUCUCCGAAAUAGCUUUAGGGCUAGCCUCAAGUGAUGAUUAUUGGAGGUAGAGCACUGUUUGGACGAGGGGCCCCUCUCGGGUUACCGAAUUCAGACAAACUCCGAAUGCCAAUUAAUUUAACUUGGGAGUCAGAACAUGGGUGAUAAGGUCCGUGUUCGAAAGGGAAACAGCCCAGACCACCAGCUAAGGUCCCAAAAUAUAUGUUAAGUGGAAAAGGAUGUGGCGUUGCCCAGACAACUAGGAUGUUGGCUUAGAAGCAGCCAUCAUUUAAAGAGUGCGUAAUAGCUCACUAGUCGAGUGACACUGCGCCGAAAAUGUACCGGGGCUAAACAUAUUACCGAAGCUGUGGAUUGUCCUUUGGACAAUGGUAGGAGAGCGUUCUAAGGGCGUUGAAGCAUGAUCGUAAGGACAUGUGGAGCGCUUAGAAGUGAGAAUGCCGGUGUGAGUAGCGAAAGACGGGUGAGAAUCCCGUCCACCGAUUGACUAAGGUUUCCAGAGGAAGGCUCGUCCGCUCUGGGUUAGUCGGGUCCUAAGCUGAGGCCGACAGGCGUAGGCGAUGGAUAACAGGUUGAUAUUCCUGUACCACCUAUAAUCGUUUUAAUCGAUGGGGGGACGCAGUAGGAUAGGCGAAGCGUGCGAUUGGAUUGCACGUCUAAGCAGUAAGGCUGAGUAUUAGGCAAAUCCGGUACUCGUUAAGGCUGAGCUGUGAUGGGGAGAAGACAUUGAGUCUUCGAGUCGUUGAUUUCACACUGCCGAGAAAAGCCUCUAGAUAGAAAAUAGGUGCCCGUACCGCAAACCGACACAGGUAGUCAAGAUGAGAAUUCUAAGGUGAGCGAGCGAACUCUCGUUAAGGAACUCGGCAAAAUGACCCCGUAACUUCGGGAGAAGGGGUGCUCUUUAGGGUUAACGCCCAGAAGAGCCGCAGUGAAUAGGCCCAAGCGACUGUUUAUCAAAAACACAGGUCUCUGCUAAACCGUAAGGUGAUGUAUAGGGGCUGACGCCUGCCCGGUGCUGGAAGGUUAAGAGGAGUGGUUAGCUUCUGCGAAGCUACGAAUCGAAGCCCCAGUAAACGGCGGCCGUAACUAUAACGGUCCUAAGGUAGCGAAAUUCCUUGUCGGGUAAGUUCCGACCCGCACGAAAGGCGUAACGAUUUGGGCACUGUCUCAACGAGAGACUCGGUGAAAUCAUAGUACCUGUGAAGAUGCAGGUUACCCGCGACAGGACGGAAAGACCCCGUGGAGCUUUACUGUAGCCUGAUAUUGAAAUUCGGCACAGCUUGUACAGGAUAGGUAGGAGCCUUUGAAACGUGAGCGCUAGCUUACGUGGAGGCGCUGGUGGGAUACUACCCUAGCUGUGUUGGCUUUCUAACCCGCACCACUUAUCGUGGUGGGAGACAGUGUCAGGCGGGCAGUUUGACUGGGGCGGUCGCCUCCUAAAAGGUAACGGAGGCGCUCAAAGGUUCCCUCAGAAUGGUUGGAAAUCAUUCAUAGAGUGUAAAGGCAUAAGGGAGCUUGACUGCGAGACCUACAAGUCGAGCAGGGUCGAAAGACGGACUUAGUGAUCCGGUGGUUCCGCAUGGAAGGGCCAUCGCUCAACGGAUAAAAGCUACCCCGGGGAUAACAGGCUUAUCUCCCCCAAGAGUUCACAUCGACGGGGAGGUUUGGCACCUCGAUGUCGGCUCAUCGCAUCCUGGGGCUGUAGUCGGUCCCAAGGGUUGGGCUGUUCGCCCAUUAAAGCGGUACGCGAGCUGGGUUCAGAACGUCGUGAGACAGUUCGGUCCCUAUCCGUCGUGGGCGUAGGAAAUUUGAGAGGAGCUGUCCUUAGUACGAGAGGACCGGGAUGGACAUACCUCUGGUGUACCAGUUGUCGUGCCAACGGCAUAGCUGGGUAGCUAUGUGUGGACGGGAUAAGUGCUGAAAGCAUCUAAGCAUGAAGCCCCCCUCAAGAUGAGAUUUCCCAACUUCGGUUAUAAGAUCCCUCAAAGAUGAUGAGGUUAAUAGGUUCGAGGUGGAAGCAUGGUGACAUGUGGAGCUGACGAAUACUAAUCGAUCGAAG
rnacentral:rRNA from 1 species